rnacentral:lncRNA from 1 species
CCGUACUCACCUUCUUGCCGUGCAGCUCUUGGACGUGUCCAACAACAAACUUCAGGUGUGUGUUGGUGUGUAGGAGUGUUGGUGUGUAGGGGUGUUGGUGUGUAGGGGUGUUGGUGUGUAGGAGUGUUGGUGUGUAGGGGUGUUGGUGUGUAGGAGUGUUGGUGUGUAGGGGUGUUGGUGUGUAGAGGUGUUGGUGUGUAGGGGUGUUGGUGUGUAGGAGUGUUGGUGUGUAGGGGUGUUGGUGUGUAGGAGUGUUGGUGUGUAGGGGUGUUGGUUGUAGGAGUGUUGGUGUGUAGGGGUGUUGGUGUGUAGGGGUGUUGGUGUGUAGGGGUGUUGGUGUGCAGGAGUGUUGGUGUGUAGGAGUGUUGGUGUGUAGAGGUGUUGGUGUGUAGGGGUGUUGGUGUGUAGAGGUGUUGGUGUGUAGGAGUGUUGGUGUGUAGGGGUGCGUGUUCAGCCCCAUAGGCGCUGUGGCUGAUGCCUCCAGGGAGGUCCAAAUCCCCGUUCACUCCCCAUUGUGACACGUUACUCUGCCGCACACUCCAAUUCCCUACGUCACCUUGGUCGCACGAUCAUGUACGGAUCAUGUACGGUCUUUGAAUACCCAGACCCCCCCUGGCUGACCCCGUACAUACACGUUGUUCCUCGCCUGCUCCUCCCCUCCCC